CUACGGGGUGCACCAGUGAGGAAUAUUGCACAAUGGGGGGAACCCUGAUGCAGCAACGCCGCGUGGAGGAUGACGCAUUUCGGUGUGUAAACUCCUUUUAUAUGUCAAGAAAAUGACGGUAGCAUAUGAAUAAGCACCGGCUAACUCCGUGCCAGCAGCCGCGGUAAUACGGAGGGUGCAAGCGUUACUCGGAAUCGCUGGGCGUAAAGGACGCGUAGGCGGGUUGGAAAGUCAGGUGUGAAAUCCUACAGCUUAACUGUAGAACUGCACUUGAAACUUCUAAUCUAGAGUAUGGGAGGGGGAGAUGGAAUUAGCGGUGUAGGGGUAAAAUCCGUAGAUAUCACUAGGAAUACCUAAAGCGAAGGCGAUCUCCUGGAACAUUACUGACGCUAAGGCGUGAAAGCGUGGGGAGCAAACAGGAUUAGAUACCCUCGUAGUC
rnacentral:rRNA from 1 species